GAUGAACGCUGGCGGCGUGCCUAAUACAUGCAAGUCGAGCGAAUGGAUUAAGAGCUUGCUCUUAUGAAGUUAGCGGCGGACGGGUGAGUAACACGUGGGUAACCUGCCCAUAAGACUGGGAUAACUCCGGGAAACCGGGGCUAAUACCGGAUAACAUUUUGAACCGCAUGGUUCGAAAUUGAAAGGCGGCUUCGGCUGUCACUUAUGGAUGGACCCGCGUCGCAUUAGCUAGUUGGUGAGGUAACGGCUCACCAAGGCAACGAUGCGUAGCCGACCUGAGGGGGGGAUCGGCCACACUGGGACUGAGACACGGCCCAGACUCCUACGGGAGGCAGCAGUAGGGAAUCUUCCGCAAUGGACUAAAGUCUGACGGAGCAACGCCGCGUGAGUGAUGAAGGCUUUCGGGUCGUAAAACUCUGUUGUUAGGGAAGAACAAGUGCUAGUUGAAUAAGCUGGCACCUUGACGGUACCUAACCAGAAAACCACGGCUAACUACGUGCCAGCCGCCGCAGUAA
rnacentral:rRNA from 1 species